rnacentral:rRNA from 1 species
AUGCGUUUGUUUAACCAAGCACUACUUGCUCGCCAAGCCUGGAGGCUGCUGCAAUUCCCUAACUCCUUGUGUGCGCAGGUACUUAAGGCCAAGUACUACCCCAAUGACGUCCUAACAAACACAGUCUUUACUGGUAAUGGUUCCUCCACUUGGCAUGUGAUUGAGUAUGACCUCGAGCUACUUAAGAAAGGUAUCAUUUGGAGGGUAGGGAAUGGAGCGAGCAUACGAGCUUGGCGAGAUCCUUGGAUCCCACGUAAUCAUCAGUUGCGCCCGAUGACUGCUAGAGGGAGAUGCCGGCUAAGAUGGGUGGCUGAUUUCAUCGACCCCAAUGGUAACUGGAAUAUGGCCCUUGUCCGCCAACACUUCCUGCCUAUUGACGUUGCGGAAAUCAUCAAAAUUAAACCGUCAACACGGAAUCAAGAAGAUUUUCUUGCAUGGCACCCGGAGAAACGAGGGAUGUUUACCGUGCGCAGUGUGUACCGCUUGGCUCUUGAUGAAAAAAUGCGUAACGAAAGUAGUGGCGCGUCCAGCAACAAUCCGAGCGGUUACAGACCUGACUGGAAGCUCAUUUGGCAAUGUCCAGUCCCUCCUAAGGUACGGAUUUUUGCAUGGAAGCUUGCAUCUAAUGCUUUGGCUACCCAGGAGAAUAUGUGCAGAAGAGGUAUGGAGGAAGAUCCCACAUGCACUGUGUGUGGACGGGAACCAGAAGAUGCUUUCCAUGCCCUACUCCGAUGCCCACAUGCGCGGGAGCUUUGGGCAGCAAUGCGUCAAGAAUGGACCCUCCCAGCUGAAGGCGUUUUUGAGCCAACCGGGCCUGAAUGGAUACUGCAUGCUCUACAUGCAAUGACGGAGCAGCAGCGGGCUAUGGUUCUCAUGAUUCUUUGGCGUGUAUGGCAUUGCCACAAUGAAAUCACCCACCAAAAAAUCCCACCAACGGCUCAAGGCUCAAAAAACUUCUUGGCAAGUUACCUCAACUCUCUCUUGCUUAUUCAGCAGCACCCUAUUAUUGAUGUUCAGAAGGGAAAGCAAGUGGUGGAUUACGUCCAGAGCUGCACCACUACACGCCACUCGUCGGAUGGCCGUCAAAAAGUGCGUCAGGAAUGGGAACCUCCACCAGCGGACCGGGUCAAACUCAAUGUGGAUGGAUCGUUCAUUCCAGACGGGUCAGCAGGAACGGGCAUGGCGCUUCGUGACAGUGCUGGAUCCUCGAUCUUCGUUGCAUGCAGGUACCUCUUUUGCGCUGACGAUGUGGAUGCAGAACUUGCUGCAAUGGAGGAGGGCCUGGCCCUUACCCUCCAGUGGUCGCCACUUCCGGUGUCCGUGGAGACGGACUGUGCUGAAGCUGUUGCGCUGGUGCAAUCCUCCACCCCCAACAUGUCGCGCUAUAUGUCGCGUAUCCAGAAUAUUCGUGAACUUCUUCAGGAAAGAGAUGUCUCGAUCGUCAAAAUCAGUCGCGAAGCCAACUCUGUGAGCCAUGGCUUAGCACAGCUAGGUAGAGAGCAGGUGAAAACUACAGUUUGGCUAAGAAAUUUCCCUAAGAAAAUUGCCAUAGCCAUGAACACCGAUUGUAUCUCUAUUGCUAGCUAA